rnacentral:rRNA from 1 species
AUUGAACGCUGGCGGCAUGCCUUACACAUGCAAGUCGAACGGUAACAGGUCUUCGGAUGCUGACGAGUGGCGAACGGGUGAGUAAUACAUCGGAACGUGCCUAGUAGUGGGGGAUAACUACUCGAAAGAGUGGCUAAUACCGCAUGAGAUCUACGGAUGAAAGCAGGGGAUCGCAAGACCUUGUGCUACUAGAGCGGCCGAUGGCAGAUUAGGUAGUUGGUGGGAUAAAAGCUUACCAAGCCGACGAUCUGUAGCUGGUCUGGGAGGACGAUCAGCCACACUGGGACUGAGAAACGGCCCAGACUCCUACGGGAGGCAGCAGUGGGGAAUUUUGGACAAUGGCGCAAGCCUGAUCCAGCAAUGCCGCGUGCAGGAUGAAGGCCUUCGGGUUGUAACCUGCUUUUGUACGGAACGAAAAGCCCCGGGUUAAUACCCUGGGGUCAUGACGGUACCGUAAGAAUAAGCACCGGCUAACUACGUGCCAGCCGCCGCGGUAA